GGAAAGGCGGCCGUGGAGGUGGUAAGUUGUAGCCUUAUUUACGGGACAAAAGUCUCUCUUUCUACU
rnacentral:tRNA from 1 species